rnacentral:tRNA from 1 species
CGCCUGGUAGUUCAGCCGGUAGAGCGUGCGCUGUACAAAGCGUCCACACGAGGGUUCGAAUCCCAUCGAGGCAA